GCCCCUAUAGCUCAGUGGCAGAGUUUCAGUCUUGUAAACUCUGAUGGCUGAAGGUCGGUAGUUUGAUCCUGCAUGGGGGCA
rfam:Citrus clementina cultivar Clemenules unplaced genomic scaffold scaffold_5, whole genome shotgun sequence.